rnacentral:rRNA from 1 species
GAUGAACGUUGGCGGCGUGCCUAAUACAUGCAAGUCGAGCGAACAGACGAGGAGCUUGCUCCUCUGACGUUAGCGGCGGACGGGUGAGUAACACGUGGAUAACCUACCUAUAAGACUGGGAUAACUUCGGGAAACCGGAGCUAAUACCGGAUAAUAUAUUGAACCGCAUGGUUCAAUAGUGAAAGACGGUUUUGCUGUCACUUAUAGAUGGAUCCGCGCCGCAUUAGCUAGUUGGUAAGGUAACGGCUUACCAAGGCAACGAUGCGUAGCCGACCUGAGAGGGUGAUCAGCCACACUGGAACUGAGACACGGUCCAGACUCCUACGGGAGGCAGCAGUAGGGAAUCUUCCGCAAUGGGCGAAAGCCUGACGGAGCAACGCCGCGUGAGUGAUGAAGGUCUUCGGAUCGUAAAACUCUGUUAUUAGGGAAGAACAAAUGUGUAAGUAACUAUGCACGUCUUGACGGUACCUAAUCAGAAAGCCACGGCUAACUACGUG